GCGAACGUGGCGGAAUGGUAUACGCGCUAGACUUAGGAUCUAGUGUUUCAAGACAUAAGGGUUCAAGUCCCUUCGUUCGCACCA
rnacentral:tRNA from 1 species